rnacentral:lncRNA from 1 species
GCAGUGUAAAGCCGAUGGUGUUCAAAUAACAGGCCUGCUCAACCUUGUCACAAUGGAGUCGACGCGACGCCGCGCCGAGAGCCGAUGCGCUAACAAGACUGUCUUUGGAGUAAUUUUAUGCAGAUUAGUUAUAUGCUAAUUUGAAGCAUGACCCCACUGUUUGCCAGAGAAAAUCUGUCUCUUUUUUUUUUGAUCUGCAUAUUAAUGCUCAAAGAAUAGAUGGAAGUUGAGACAUGAAACGGUUUAAUAAAAUCAGCAGGUAAAAGGCAGCCUCAUAAUUAAUCCAGCAAAGACGGAGGCAUUCGCAGACAAUGGCCGCGCCUCGGGUUCAUAAUUGGGCCUUUUAUUGAUAUUCCACAGCCUCUCCGCGGAAUCUCCUGAAACUGUAAUUAAUAUUUCACAGUAAAAAGAAGAGACGGAUGAAGAGCUGUGGCGAGAAGAUGCUUGACUUCCCUCGGUGCAGCUGGCACGACUGUCUGAACCACUCAGACUCGGAACACCCCCCCCCACCCCCCCCCCCCCCCCCCCCCCCUCCCCCUCCUCACCGUGGCGAUAGGUUUCCUCCGCGGCUCAUGAGACUGACCAAAAAUCUGCUUGAUAUUUGAAGAGCAGCAUUUGAUGAAAGGCAUUAGAGGACGUGCAUUAUUUAUGACUGGUGAGUGAUGCAUUAAGUCAUUAAAUAUGCAUACGUACAUUACAUGAGAGAGAACAUGUCCUAUAGCGUGUCAUAUUGAUUCUGGCGUGAGGUUCUGGUCCCCUCUGAUCCACAUGCAGACACGUCAGGGGACGACACCCACCAAAUCGCUCAGAUGAUAAAGUGACGGCGAAAGUCUUCCGUGCGCGCGCGUGCGCGGUCACAGCUGAGGCGCUGCGCAGUUUGAACCCGCCAGAUCGAGGACGGCGUCCGCGCAUGCAGCAGAUUUUGUGUGGGAGCCGAGCGCGCGACGUCACGUGGGGGGAAACCGGGAUGCGCUGCCAAUUCACACAGUUAAAGGACUCGCACGAGCGCCGCUGAACUCGCCGAAGCGAUCGCUUUGCGUCUCCCACUGAUGCCUUCAGUUUUCCACGCGCUCCUGCCGCGAGCGGAACCUGGCCGCUGGGCAGCGGUGACGUAGCGGCAGCGGAGCGACGCGGUGGGUGAACGUCUGAGGCCCCAGCGAAGCUUCACGUGAAUUACUCGGCCCAGAAAAGCAAACCAGGCCGAGCUUCCUCGCGUUAAAAGCCCUUAUUUAUGUUGCAUCAGGUUGAUAGUAAUUACUGCGGUGGCCACGCGCUGUGAAUUUCAACUGUGCAGUUUUGUCAGCUUAAGAAAA